UAAUACAUGCCAACGGAGUUCUGACCAGAGAUGGAAGGAACGCUUUUAUUAGAUCAAAACCGAUCGGUUGGUUUCGGCCACCGUGAAUUUUGGUGACUCUGAAUAACUUUGAGCGGAUCGCACGGUCUUCGUACCGGCGACGCAUCUUUCAAAUGUCUGCCUUAUCAACUUUCGAUGGUAGGUUCUAUGCCUACCAUGGUUGUAACGGGUAACGGGGAAUCAGGGUUCGAUUCCGGAGAGGGAGC
rnacentral:rRNA from 15 species